rnacentral:rRNA from 1 species
AUGUUUUUUUUCAUCAAGCUGAUAUCCCAUUAUGAUAUGUUUUUUGCUUUGCACAUGCAGGAUGCCUUUAAUCAAAAGGAUUGGUUUAGUCAACCCAUAAGAUUGAUUCAUUACCUUGGAGUUCCAGAGGGAUUUUGUGUAGCAUGUUCUUCAGCUGUGGCCAGUUCUAUACAGUAUGAGCAAAGAGGAAAGAGUGUCCAUUUGAGUGUCGAUGAAGUGAAAGUUGUCAGUUUAAGUUGGUUCCGAGGAUUCAACCUGUUCUAUUCUACUACAGUAUGGGUUGUAGUGACAUAUGUGCAUAAUAUAUAG